rnacentral:lncRNA from 1 species
AACUAUACAUCCGUAAAAUGACAACUAUGAUAACAUAAAUGUGGCAACUAGGAACGACGAAAAAAAAUUCAACGAAACAUGUCAACAUGGGAUCUUAUUUUGAAGGUCUCGUCGAGACGAACCUAACGAUGAAAGCGAAUCUUUAAUAAAAUUAUUAACUGUGAGAUAAAUUAUUUAUAAAAUUUAAAAAAGCAAUGCAAUGAUGUAAGCAUGAGGUGGUAAUUUUUGCAUGUGUACCGGGCUGCGCGAGCCGCUGUAUGGGAGAGCUGUGAUGGAGCGCUUCUCUUUAUAAUUUUGCUAGAAUAAUAGCGGAACGCCCCUCUGUUCCACGAAAAACAGAUUCUCAGUGGUAAUCAGCACCGUGAUGGCAUGAUCCAUGCAUGUUCUUCUGACACGUUAUUCCCGGCGAUGGUUGUACGUUACGGCUUAAAUUUACACUGACUCAAACUGACUGCCGGCCUAGACCGGCCAUUGUUUGACCUUCCAGCCUCACUACGCGGACAAACUUAUAUAUCUCCUACGGAAUCAAAAGACCAACGUAACCUACCAACAGUUUUUAAUAAUCUCCUACACGACGCUUCGUGCCAUGUGAGGGGGCUAAGAUAACAACAAAUGUGUACUGAUGAGAUCACGCUCAUAAGCGAACAAAAAGGCUAGUGAGGAUCAAUCAUAUUUUAGCCAUGGCGUGACAAAGCACCAGCUUGUCGUGGCUCCCUUGUCCGCUUGCCACACCCCCCUCGCCAGCGCGAAAUGACCCUGAACGCCCUCGGAAAUUAAACGCGGGCGCAGAGAGGGCAGCAGCCAUUGACCGUUCCGAGCUCUCGCAGGAACAGAGGCCGCAGCGAGCAGAGCUCAGCUCCCAAUCAAUCAAUCACUCACUCACUCACUCAAUCAUUGUACUGCUGUUUCAGAUCUUUGCUCUCCAAAGAAGAAGUGGAAACCGGGGAUGGGAUGGGGUGAGGAAGGAGAAGAUACAUCGUAGUACAUGUGGUGAUUUUUACACUCUUUUCUUUGGAUGCAAACUCCGGAGCUCGAUCUAAUGGGCUGGCUAAUUACAGUUACAUCACCGCGUAUGUGAUUGUAUGGCGCACACGGCACACUACUAGCUAGCCGGUGUUCUUCCGCGCGGGAAAAAUGGGAGCGAGGAAGAACCUGCCGCGGCGCUAGUUGUGCAGCGGGUUGGGCCCCUGCGGAACCAGCCUCUUGGAGUCGCCCAGCGCGGCCGCCGCGCCGCCGGAACGGGUAGCCGCCGCCGUCGUCGUCGUCGUCGUGGACGCCGUCCGUCCAGUCGGCGUCGCCCCGCGCCUCCAGGCGGCGACGUCCGCCCUGGGGAUCCUGUGGCCGCAGCUGAAGGUGGCGAGCUCGGACGCCAGGAGGAGGAGAAGCACCGCCAGUAGCUGCAGGGCGCCGCCGGCGUCCCUCACCAUGCUAAGGGCAGAGAUUGGUGGGAGGGGAGGAGCGGGCUAGCUGGCCGGCCUCCCGGAGGAGGAGGGGGCGAUUCUGUACUUGUGCGCGUAACUGCGCUUGUAUGGACGCGGCGCAGCUAGCAACCGAGCGGAGUGUUUUGGGGGUUGUUGCUUUGUGCCGUAGGUGCUACUACUAAUAAGAUGGCCGGCCGGAUGGGGUCGUCGGUCACCGUUUCCCGAUCUGCAGCGUAGAUUGCUCGUGUCGUGUGUAGUCUGUAGUGACCCGAAGGGGAGGGAGAUGAUUGAGGCUUUGAGGGGUGGCCGGUUGACUAUGGAAAAAACAGCCGGCCUGGCUAGCCAGCUAGCCAACUCAUGUGAUGUGAUGUGUCUGUGUUGUGUUGUGCAAGAUGUUAGAAUAAAACGCUAAUGCAAGAUCAUAGACGACACACCGG